CCGCCGUUAUAUAGAUACACUUAUGAAUCGAAAUCUCGAUGUGCCUUGAUGAAAUAAUCAUUUUGCCUUUAGGUAUGUUUAAUAAAGAAAACAAAUUCAAAAGAGGGACGAAAGAUACCAAAGGAACAGUCAAACUCAUAAAUCUAAAAAAAAAACUGACAACGCCAUGGCUAAAAAUGAAAAAGACAAACAAACAACAGCACAUACGACACAACAUAGAAAACUAAAGAAUAAACAACACGAACCCCAC
rnacentral:lncRNA from 1 species